ACGGGAGGCAGCAGUGGGGAAUAUUGGGCAAUGGGCGCGAGCCUGACCCAGCAAUGCCGCGUGAAGGAAGAAGGCUUUCGGGUUGUAAACUUCUUUUAAGUGGGACGAUAAUGACGGUACCACUUGAAUAAGCUCCGGCUAACUACGUGCCAGCAGCCGCGGUAAUACGGAGGAUCCGAGCGUUAUCCGGAUUUAUUGGGUUUAAAGGGUGCGCAGGCGGCUUUUUAAGUCAGUGGUUGAAUCGUGACGCUCAACGUCAUCACGCCAUUGAUACUGGAGAGCUUGAUUGCGGUCGAGGUUUGCGGAAUUCGUUGUGUAGCGGUGAAAUGCAUAGAUAUGACGAAGAACACCGAUUGCGUAGGCAGCAGACCAGGCCGUAAAUGACGCUCAUGCACGAAAGUGCGGGGAUCGAACAGGAUUAGAUACCCUGGUA
rnacentral:rRNA from 1 species